UGAAAUUCCAAUCGAGCCCGGAUAUAGCUGGUUCUCCCCGAAAUAGCUUUAGGGCUAGCCUCAAGCGUAGAGAAACGGAGGUAGAGCACUGAAUGUCCUAGGGGGUAUUGCACUUACCGAAGACUAUCAAACUCCGAAUGCCGUUUUCUUUUACUUGGGAGUCAGACUGUGGGUGAUAAGAUUCAUAGUCAAAAGGGCAACAGCCCAGAUCGUCAGCUAAGGUCCCUAAAUGUACGUUAAGUGGUAAAGGAUGUGGGAUUGCACAGACAACCAGGAUGUUGGCUUAGAAGCAGCCACUCAUUUAAAGAGUGCGUAAUAGCUCACUGGUCGAGUGAUCCUGCGCCGAAAAUUUCCGGGGCUAAAACGUACUACCGAAGCUACGGCAUCAUUUAUGAUGGGUAGGGGAGCUUCGUAUGCAGGCUGAAGCAUGACCGUAAGGACAUGUGGACAGUAUACGAGUGAGAAUGUUGGCAUGAGUAGCGAGACGUGGGUGAGAAUCCCACGGGCCGUAAACCCAAGGUUUCCUGGGGAAGGUUCGUCCGCCCUGGGUUAGUCGGGACCUAAGCCGAGGCCGAAAGGCGUAGGUGAUGGACAACAGGUUGAUAUUCCUGUACCACCAAUAACCGUUUGAGAAAUGGGAUGACACAGUAGGAUAAGCUAACCGCACUGUUGGUUAUGUGCGGGCAAGUAUUGAGGCAGUUCCGAUAGGCAAAUCCGUCGGAAUAAUGCUGGGGUACGAUGCGGAGCGAAAUUAAGUAGCGAAGUAGCUGAUUUCACACUGUCGAGAAAAGUCUCUAUCGAGGUUAAAGGUGCCUGUACCGCAAACCGACACAGGUGGGUGAGGAGAGUAUCCUAAGGCCAGCGAGAGAACUGUUGUUAAGGAACUCGGCAAAAUGACCCCGUAACUUAGGGAGAAGGGGUGCCUUCGAAAGAAGGCCGCAGAGAAUAGGCCCAAGCGACUGUUUACCAAAAACAUAGGUUUCUGCUAAGUCGCAAGACGAUGUAUAGGAGCUGACGCCUGCCCGGUGCUGGAAGGUUAAGGGGAUCUGUUAGAGCAAUCGAAGCAGUGAACUUAAGCCCCAGUAAACGGCGGCCGUAACUAUAACGGUCCUAAGGUAGCGAAAUUCCUUGUCGGGUAAGUUCCGACCC
rnacentral:rRNA from 1 species